UGAACGCUAGCGGCAGGCUUAACACAUGCAAGUCGAGGGGUAGAAGGAGCUUGCUCCUUAGAGACCGGCGCACGGGUGCGUAACGCGUAUGCAAUCUACCUUUCACAGAGGGAUAGCCCAGAGAAAUUUGGAAUUAAUACCUCAUAGUAUAGCAGUUUCGCAUGAAACCACUAUUAAAGUCACAACGGUAAAAGAUGAGCAUGCGUCCCAUUAGCUAGAUGGUAAGGUAACGGCUUACCAUGGCUACGAUGGGUAGGGGUCCUGAGAGGGAGAUCCCCCACACUGGUACUGAGACACGGACCAGACUCCUACGGGAGGCAGCAGUGAGGAAUAUUGGACAAUGGGCGCAAGCCUGAUCCAGCCAUGCCGCGUGCAGGAUGACGGUCCUAUGGAUUGUAAACUGCUUUUGUACAGGAAGAAACACUCCCUCGUGAGGGAGCUUGACGGUACUGUAAGAAUAAGGAUCGGCUAACUCCGUG
rnacentral:rRNA from 1 species